rnacentral:rRNA from 1 species
AGGGCUGACGGCGGAUGCCUUGGCACUAGGAGGCGAUGAAGGACGUGGAAAGCUGCGAUAAGCUUCGGUGAGCUGCUAACAGGCUUUGACCCGGAGAUUUCCGAAUGGGGCAACCCGGCAGAGUUCAUACUCUGUCACUUAUUACUGAAUACAUAGGUAAUAAGAGCGAACGAGGGGAAGUGAAACAUCUCAGUACCUUCAGGAAAAGAAAUCAAUUGAGAUUCCGUCAGUAGCGGCGAGCGAACGCGGAAUAGCCCAAACCCAUGAGCAUGCUCAUGGGGGUUGUGGGGCCCCGAUGUGGGAUUGAUGAUGGAUAGCGGAAUGGCAUGGAAAGGCCAAUCAUAGACGGUGAUAAUCCGGUACGCGAAAUCCUGACUCACCCUAGGGUGUCCCCGAGUACCACGAGACACGUGAAACCUUGUGGGAAUCCGGGAGGACCAUCUUCCAAGGCUAAAUACUACCUAGUGACCGAUAGUGUACCAGUACCGUGAGGGAAAGGUGAAAAGAACCCCGGGAGGGGAGUGAAAUAGAAACUGAAACCGUCAGCUUACAAGCAGUUGUAGCCCAUGUUUACAUGGGUGGCAGCGUGCCUUUUGCAUAAUGAGUCAACGAGUUACCCUAUGUAGCGAGGUUAAGCCGUUAGGUGUAGCCGCAGCGAAAGCGAGUCUUAAGAGGGCGUCGAGUUACAUGGGGUAGACCCGAAGCCGGGUGAUCUAUCCAUGUCCAGGGUGAAGGUCGAGUAACAUCGACUGGAGGCCCGAACCAUUGUAGGUUGAAAACUGCUUGGAUGAGGUGUGGAUAGGAGUGAAAGGCUAAUCAAACUCGGUGAUAGCUGGUUUUCUCCGAAAUAUAUUUAGGUAUAGCCUUGCGAAAUGACUGACGGAGGUAGAGCACUGCUUGGGCUAGGGGUCCCAACGGAUUACCAACCCCAUGCAAACUCCGAAUGCCGUCAAGUUCAAUCGCGGGAGUCAGUCUGCGGGAGAUAAGUUCCGUGGUCGAGAGGGAAACAACCCAGACCGUCAGCUAAGGUCCCUAAACUGUACUAAGUGGAAAAGGAGGUGAAAUUGCUCAGACAACCAGGAGGUUGGCUUAGAAGCAGCAAUCCUUUAAAGAAAGCGUAAUAGCUCACUGGUCUAGUGAAUUUGCGCCGAAAAUGUAACGGGGCUCAAGUACAGUACCGAAGCUACGGAUUCAAAAUUUAUUUUGGAUGGUAGGAGAACAUUGUGUAGGCCUGAGAAGGUGCAUCGUGAGGUGUGCUGGAGGUAUCACAAGAGCUUAUGUUGACACGAGUAGCGAUAAAAAGGGUGAGAAACCCUUUCGCCGAAAGUCUAAGGUUUCCUGAAGUCAAGUUAAUCUGCUCAGGGUUAGUCGGUCCCUAAGGCGAGGCUGAAAAGCGUAGUCGAUGGGAAACAGGUUAAUAUUCCUGUACCACUGAUCUGGAACUUGUAUAAGGGGGGACGGAGAAGGAUAUGCCAUCCGGGCGUUGGUAGUCCCGGUUUAAGCGUGUAGGUGGAGUGUCCAGGCAAAUCCGGACAUUCAUAACACUGAGGCGUGAUGACGAAGCCCAAACGGGCUGCAAAGUGGUUGAUUCCAUGCUUCCAGGAAAAUCCUCGUAUACAUUCAGUUUGGUGACCGUACCGUAAACCGACACAGGUAGACAGGUAGAAUAUACCAAGGCGCUUGAGAGAACUCUGGUUAAGGAACUCGGCAAAAUAGCACCGUAACUUCGGGAGAAGGUGUGCCCUCAUGGUGAUCUUUUAUACUUAAGUGAGCCUACGGGGGUUGCAGUGAAAUGGGGGGAGCGACUGUUUACUAAAAACACAGGACUAUGCGAAGUCGUAAGACGAUGUAUAUGGUCUGACGCCUGCCCGGUGCCGGAAGGUUAAGGGGACGUGUUAGCUUUUGCGAAGCAUUGAACCGAAGCCCCGGUAAACGGCGGCCGUAACUAUAACGGUCCUAAGGUAGCGAAAUUCCUUGUCGGGUAAGUUCCGACCUGCACGAAUGGCGUAACGAUUUCCCCACUGUCUCAACCAGAGACUCAGCGAAACUGUAGUACCGGUGAAGAUGCCGGUUACCCGCAACAAGACAGAAAGACCCCGUGAACCUUUACUAUAGCUUGGCAUUGUGUUUAGGGAUAGUAUGUGUAGGAUAGGUGGGAGACUUUGAAGCAUGCACGCCAGUGUGUGUGGAGUCACCCUUGAAAUACCACCCUUGCUAUCUUUGAACUCUAACCGCGGUCCCUUAUCGGGAUCCGGGACAGUGUCUGGUGGGUAGUUUGACUGGGGCGGUCGCCUCCCAAAGAGUAACGGAGGCGCGCGAUGGUUCCCUCAGGCUGAUUGG